GUGCUCACUUCGGCAGCAUGUGAACCAAAACUGGAACGAUACAGACAAGAUUAGCGUGGCCCCUGCACUAGAAUGACCCGCAAAUUCGUGAAACGGUCCAUAUAUUU